UUUCUUAUAUAUAUCCAACAAAUUAAUAUAUAUUGAAAACUCGCAUACAAAAUAUGCAAAACUUGCAUUAUUAUGUAUUAUGCAAUAACAAGUGUAAACUAGUGCAACUUUAAUAAUAAUUAUGGUCCACAUAGAUCAAUACGAAACUGAAUUCCAUUUUAAGAUCCUAGCACAAAAUUAAUCAGUGUCACACAAUUGCAACAUCAAAUAUGUUGCUACAUGCACAAAAAUAGGAAAAUUCCAACAGCAAAAAAAUCAACUAGGCGACAACAAAUCUAAUACAAAAUUUUAUUGAUUUAGAUCAAUUACAAAAAUAAAUCCCAUUAUAAAUUCCCAAUACAAAAUUAAGUAGUGCCACAUGAGUGCAACACCAAAUCCGUUGUCGCAUGCACAAAUAUAUGAGAGAAAUAGUGACAACAAAAUUAAAGCAUCAUAAACAAAUUGAUUCACUUAAAUCAAUUAUAAAAAUGACUUCCAUUUUAAGUUUCUAACACAAAUUAAGUAUACACGAUUGUAGUAUCGAAUAUGUCGUCGCAUGCACAAAUAUAGAAGAAAAACUAUCAGAGACAUCCAACGCUGUCCCACAAAUUUCCGCUAACACAUCUACUCGAAAUCCUGCAAAUCGGAACCAAAAUGGGAGGAGGUCUGCAGGCACCCAGAACAUCCGCAUCUAACAUAUAAACCCUGCUACGCUACCCGCCAUUCCAGAGCCCCUGCGAGCGCGAGCGAUUUUUGGCCUUCCGAUCAUUUUACUGUUCACGUUUUUACGCUGUUGUCGAUUGGUCAGCCGUUAGUUGCUUUUACACACAUGCGCUUAGUAUAUCACUGGCUGGCUGCUGGGUCCAUCUUUCCAUGGGGCCCGGGGGCAGUGGCUGGGUUGUGCGCGCAGGUCGUCGUUGUUGUCAUGCGCAUAUGGAUUGACUCAGCGGAGUAAUUGUAUUGGCUCGUUUUGCGGGAUGUGGUGGAAUACCAUUGAUUUACUUGUCUGCUUGUUACCCUUUCUUUGAUGGUGGUCCCGAUUUACGUUUGGUCCCAUGUUACAGUGUCUUGCGGGUGAAAGGAUUGCGCUCGCCAGCGUUGCCUGCUGCAUGCGCGUCGAUUGGCUCUCGCGUUGCCCGUAGAAUGCGCGUCGAUUGGCUGAGGGCUGAAAUCCCGCUGCUUUACUCGUCCGUGCCAUGCCCUGUAUUUGAUGGUGGUCCCGGCUUGCAUUUAGGCCCGCCUUGCAGCGUCUUGUGUGCGUGAGCGGUUGGGUUCCCCAUCUCUGCUCGUUGGGUAAAGUGACGCAGGCCUGUGCCCGUUGGGUAAAAGAGAGUAACAUGGGCACAUGGCAGGUGAAAGGUGCACAAAUACUUUCUACUCGGCCUUAUUUGUUCUGUCGCUGCGACUGGGCCUGUGUGUUCUGGUCCCGCUUGUAAGUUCAACCGGUAGAAGCGGGUCGGCUCAUUUGAAAUUUACAGCGCCUCGGUGCCUGAGUUUGUCAGGGAUGCACUGUGAUCACGUUCGCUGAACCGUCGUGGUGGGCGGGUGCUCAACCCCACCUUCAGAGUUCGGCUUGCCUCUCCCCCUUUCUCGUUGCUCACUUGGAUCAUCUCUUGGCCUGACUCCGCCUUCCCAUCCCCACGGUGGAGCGCGAGAAAGGAGGGCGAGGACGAGAUGACGACCGGGUCGUCCGUCAGCCUCGCUGCAGGGGAGCAGUCGGCCCGCGGUCGCGCGGUGCUGUCCGGCCUGCCGGACACGGCCGGCAUCGUCCUCGUCGGCGAUGGGCCCCGUCGAUGUCGGCCCCCUCGGCGCUAUGAGGGGUGUGCGGUGCGUUUUAUGGUGCGAUGGAUGGCGCUGGGGCAAGGGCGGCCACGGCUCGCACAAGAUUCAGCUCCUGCUCGUGGAGUUAAAGGCCGGUGUUGGGGUCCUCAGCGGCGAGGAGGACGACACGUCGUGUGUACGCAGUGUUCCUCCCGCUCGUGGAGUGAGCGUUUUGGACCAGCCUCGAGGGUGGCCGUCCGGACGGCAACGAGCUUCGGCUCUGCAUCCAGAGCUGCAACUCCGGCAGGCACGCCACUUCUUCGCCCCUCUCAGUCGCCGGUGCUUUUGUUCUGUGUAUGGCGAUGGGGUUGCUUCAUCUGCUCCGUUCAUGUCGUUGAGGUUUUGUGAUGUUUGCCUGUUUCUCGCUCUCGAGUAGGUCCCUGCGUCAAUCUUGCCUUCGGCAUUGAGGUAUUGCAAGGCGCAUCAUUGGACUGAUGUACCAGAAAGGGUAGUGCCACUAGAGAUAAUUAUUCCAGAUCACCUUCUACUUCUUGAUGGAAGUCAUUAUCAGAAUAUUAAUCCAUCACAAGCAAAAUAGGAGACAAGGCAUCAUGAAGCAACUAUAGCAGGCUAUGACAAUUGGUUGUAAUAAAUAAAUGGAGAAUACCCACUGACAGAAGUUUUUGCGCUAAAUAUGUAAGCCAUCCUAAACCCAAUAAAAAACAAAAGAGAACAAUACCGAACCUGAGUAGUAUUUCAAUUUUAUCUCAUAUUAUUUCAUAUAUAUCUGUCAUCAGAUAAGUAUAUUGCAAAUAGAAGGGUUAAAAACAAAUGUAGAAUUUCUGCCAAAUUAAGCUAUGCAAUAUAUGGAACUAACUUGCAAUAGGAUCCCAUGGGAUUACAACUAUGCGAAGAACAGUCUGCUAAGAAAGAAAUUCAGUCCAGUCAAAACGAAAAUCAGUCUCUUUGGCGUCAGAUUGAACAUAUAAAUGAUGAAGGGGGUGCCAGGCAGGCUCGUUGCAUCCACGUCCUCGCUAUUCCUCGCUAUGAAUAGUGCAAAGCAGCUGGCGAGCGAGCGAAAAAAAAACAAGCGAGAGAUAGAUCCCUGCAGCCACCGCAUGCUUCCUCCAUCUCUCCCCUCCCGCACCAUCCACUUCCUCCCUCUGCGCCGCCUCCUCUCCUCCCGAUUUGCCUCCUCCUCUCCUCCUCUCGCGCCUUCUCUCAUCUCCACCUCCUCUCCAGCUGUCGCCGCUGCGCCAGGGCCUCGCCUCGCCCUGCAGUUCCUCGUGCGCCUUCUCUCAUCUCCGCCUCCUCUCCUGCUGCCGCCGCCGCGCCAGGGCCUCGCCUCGCCCUCACCGCCCACUGGUGACCUCCCAGCCCUUGUUCUCCGCCUAAUCCUUUUGCUUCUCUGUACAGACACUGCUGCAUUUGUUGUCCAUUUUGCCAUCGUGAGCUUCAGGUAACUACAUGUGCAAAUAUGCCAAUGGAUUACAUCCUCAGGAUUAACAAGUUCAUGUGUGCUGCUGCUCUUACUAUCUAUGUGGUAGGCUGGUCUGAACGCGCUAUUGAUGGCUUUUUCCUCUGGAGUACCAAGAAAAAUAGCAGAUCAUCCCUGUAGUAGAAGCCAUGCAAGCGCCAUGUAAAAUGGUUUUGAAUCGGAACCGAAGCCAUCUGUUGGAAGUAACAUCUGUAGGGACUGAACCUGUAUGCCACUCCCAGUAAUAUAGAGUGAAGGCAAUAACAACAUUGUUUGCUGUUGGUUUAUAAUCGGUAACUGGCCAAGCUACUUGGCUCACUUUCGUUGCCUUUUGCGGGUCCUUUUGUGGGAUGUUGUUGUCAUUCUGGGCCUUAAUGCUCGGAGGAGGGUCAGGGGCAUUUCCUUCAUGGGAAGAGGGGCAUCUGUGAGGGUAUUGGCCAAAAGUAGGCAAGGUAAAAAAACUAGGUUCUAUCUCUGCUACAUCUGAUUAGGCAACUAAAUUUGGUCCCCUUACUCGUUUCUUUUUCACUUACUGUAUGUGAAGCGAUACAAUUUUAUUUCCAUUACUGCAUCUUAAUAUGUUUUAGCGAUUGGUGAAUGCACAACUUUAGCUCAUAAACUAGAUGGCAAAUGCUAAUUCUGAUGGGGCUUUUGCCACUUAUUGUUUUGUGGUUGUCUAGACAGCUGAUGGCAUGGUUCUUUCUUGCUAAUUGCCAAUUCUUUUGUAUAGGGUCCCUCAGCUACUUAUGCUUUGCUAGACAAUGAGGGUAUGUAGAUAGCAUGUAUGGUUUUCACAUUGUUUUGUGCAGAUUGAGAUGCAUCACAUGAUGUAGAUAGCAUGUAUGGUUUUCACAUUGUUUUGUGCAGAUUGAGAUGCAUCACAUGAUGUUUUCCUUUUACAUUUAUGGAUAUUACCGAGUCCUUUCCUUUUCUAUAAGGGGCAGUAGCUGUGCCAUUCGAUUCGAAAGACAAAGAGUUGAUCACAAAGGGGUAGCAUUCAGGACCUUUCCUUUUCCACAAGGGACAGUAGUUGUGCCAUUCGAUUCGAAGGACAAAGAGUUGAUCACAAAGGGAUAGCAUUCAGGAUAUAUACACAAAAGAGUAUGAAACCAAAUUAUAUGAUAUAGUUGACCACUAUUUCUAUUAACUUCUUCUGUACACAAUGUUCAUGAGUUCAUGUAUUUUAUUGUGUCA